ensembl:misc_RNA 7SK 7SK RNA
GGGUAUAGGAUGAUCUGGCUGCAACAUCUGUCACUCCAAUGAUUGCUGGGUUUGAUUAGGCUGAUUUGAUUGACUAGGCAGGUGUCCACUUCCUCCCUCACUGCUCCGUGUGCAUCGCCCCCAAAGCUGCAUUCUCUGUGGAAGAAGACAACCUUCCCUGAAUAGAAGAGGACCGGUCUUUGUUCAAGGGUAUAAGAGUAGCUGCAUUCCCCUGCUAGGACCUCCAAACAUGUUCCCAAGGUAGUUAUAAUUUUUAGGUUUGGGGAUAAUGGCCGUACUGUCUUACCUGCAUCAACUUGUAUUCCAUCUUGUUUCCCCAAAUCCUUAAU